rnacentral:lncRNA from 10 species
AAGAGCUUCAUUCUAAACUAUCUAUUAGAUUCAUUGCUAUACUGACCUCUCAUUGACUGAAACUUUACAUCAAGGCUCAGGGACUGUAAACCCACCGCAGCUUGGAAUAUGGAAUAUGGAUGUUGAGAUACACACUUCAGUUCCUGAACUCAGUAAUGAAAUCGCCCCCAGAGUUCUCAUGCCAGCAUUCAGCUAGCUGCAACUUUCUCCUGCUUGCCUUCUAAGGAGAUUAAGAACGGGCAUUUUAUUUUGUUUCCGUUUUAGUUUAUUUGAAGGUUUUAUGAUGUCUUGGUUGAGUGGCUCGUGGGACUUGCAAAUAAACAUGCUGCCUUUAAAAAU